AGAUGUGAUCAUACCAGCACUAAUGCACCGGAUCCCAUUAGAACUACGAAGUUAAGCGUGCUUGUGCGGGGGUAGUACUAGGAUGGGUGACCCCCUGGGAGGUCCUCAUGUCGCAUCCC